ensembl:lncRNA
CUCCCGCCCCUCUGCCUGCCACUGACCCACUGCCUUCAAAUGCCCCACUGCCCACUGUCACCGAGACUUUCCUGAAAGACCACACCCUAUACCUAAUUGACCUCAUGCGGCUGCAAUUAGAGGCAGAGGGUAGGGGCCCUCCCAGGUCCCUCCAGGACCUGAGCCAGCGCCUGAAGCUGGUCAGGAACUCGAAGAAGCUGCUGUGGGAGGAGAUUGCUGGGAGGGGUCCUGGUAAAUUUCAGUUUUUUCCGAGAUGGAUGACCUCAUGGGAGGUCACCAUGACAUAGUCUUCCCUGUUGUGGGAACAGCCAUGGGCCUGGAUGUGCGCAGGCCAGGUGCCCUGCAGGCCCUGCAGGUCAGUGUGUCUGCACCAGAUGCCUCACCUUCCUCGUCCACCAGUGCCGUCGCUCCAGCUCAAUCUGGAACUCCAUCACCUCCUCCGUCAUCCCGCGGUGCUCCUCGCACAGCUACCACCAUGCCCCCUGCUAACACCCCAAGGAGGCCACGCAAGCGCCAGAGGGAGGAGGACCUGUUGACGUUCCUUAGGGAGUCUGAGGCAGCCUCCCAAGCGGCCGCCCAAAAACGGCACGCUGAGACCCUUGCCCAAAUGAAGGAAGCCCAGGAGGGGCUCCAGAGUUUGCUUGGCCAGAUGGUGGCGAAGAUGUAAAAUAGAUGUCAAAUAAUUGUUUAUUUUUCAUUGGAAAAUGUUAAUGUGUUAAUGUAUUUUGGUUAAUGUUCAAAUUUUUUAUAGAUAUUAUAUGUUUUAUUUUAUAUUAUAUGUAAUUUGAUAUAUUUUAUUUUAACUUUUCCCUGUUAUGUUGUUUGUCCGUGGGCCCUGUUUUGUU